rnacentral:tRNA from 1 species
GCCCCUGGUUAGCUCAGUUAGUAGAGCGCUCCACCGGAAAUGGAGAGGUCCCGGGUUCGAUACCCGGACCAGGCA